rnacentral:rRNA from 1 species
AGUCGUAACAAGGUUUCCGUAGGUGAACCUGCGGAAGGAUCAUUAAUGAAUAUAAAUCAUAGGGAGGAAUACGGGGGGAAAGUUGUCGCUGGCCUUUUGUAAUGAGGGCAUGUGCACGCCUACCCCUGAGGACCUCUCUAUGUGAUUCCUCUUCUUACCCACCUGUGCACUUCAUGUAGAGUCAGGCUUCUUCCUUUCGGGGAGGCGGCUAUGAACCCUAUGUCUUAUAAACAUCCGACGUGUAGAAAGUCCCAGAAUGUUUACUACCAUUGAGACGCGACUUCUAGGAGACGCGGGUCUUUGGGUUAAAAGUUAUUACAACUUUCAGCAAUGGAUCUCUUGGCUCUCGCAUCGAUGAAGAACGCAGCGAAAAGCGAUAUGUAAUGUGAAUUGCAGAUCUACAGUGAAUCAUCGAAUCUUUGAACGCACCUUGCGCUCCUUGGUAUUCCGAGGAGCAUGCCUGUUUGAGUGUCAGUAAUUUCUCAACCCCUCUCGAUUAACUUCGAGUGGGAGCUUGGAUAGUGGGGGUUGCAGGAGACUCGUCAGGACUUUUAAAUUCCUGAAGGGACUCGAGCUCCCCUUAAAUGCAUCGGCUUGCGGUUGACUUUCGACUUUGCAUGAAAAGGCUUUCGGCGUGAUAAUGAUCGCCGUGUGCUGAAGUGCAUGAAUGAAGGUUCCGUGCCUCUAAUACCUGUCGAUCGAUCUUUCGGAUUCGGUCUUCUUUCUGAUAUUUUGACCUCAAAUCAGGUAGGACUACCCGCUGAACUUAAGCAUAUCAAUAAGCGGAGGAAAAGAAACUAACAAGGAUUCCCCUAGUAACUGCGAGUGAACCGGGAAAAGCUCAAAUUUUGAAUCUGACGGUCUUUAUGGCCGUCCGAGU